CAGAGUUGUUGACCUUUUUUAAGGGGAGGGACUUCGGUCCGGCUCAUUUGCAUCGCGUGGUCCGACAAGAGCUGCACGCUAUGCCAGAGUCACAUGGCUGUGAUAAAUGAGCUUAAUCGGCACAGAAAAUUAAUCACAUUGUCAUGCUGACAGAGGGAGAAGCAGCUGCAUGAAAUGCCUGGAUCCCUGGCAAAUUUAUCACCAUGGCUAGAGACUGGCCACUCCCAAAUUAACACUUCUCCUGCCAUUUUUCUCAGCUCUGGGCAUGCCAUGUGCCGCCAAUAGAUGAAAAUGGAGCAUGCAAGGAACAUAGACAGAGUCAUCUGUGGCUUCAAUUGUGGGUUCCCAACCUUCUCCCAGGUUGUUGUUUUGUACAGUGGCUAAGAAAUGGAACCCAUGGCAGAGCAUGGUAGCUGGGCUUAUUGACUUCUAUGACAAAUGAACACCCUGCCUUUCCCCUGUAUUAGCACACUAGUUGGCUUACAAAAGCACUAAAGAUAAUGUUGAAAUGCAGUAGCAACAAUAAAUAUUAUUUUAUUUGACACCUUCACAGUGGUGGAGAAUUGCAGCCAAAGGCUGGGAAGCCUUUCGACUUCUUCAUCUGGCCUUGGGGACAUUCCCCAUAACAUGCUGCUCAGCACUCCUUGCCUGCUCCCUCCUUGAGCACUUUUGCCUGGCAGGAAUGUGACCUUGAACCGACAUAAACCAGCCCACAGUGGAGAGAACCUACAGUGGCUGUGCAGAAAUCUCCGUCGUUGGCAUAUCUGGAAUGUAGGCAGUUGGACAAAGGGAAGAGCUGUAUCUAGUGUGUGUCUUGUCUUGUGGCAGUGAAUUUCCAGAGUUCUAGUAUCUCCCAAGGAGCUUCCCCAGGCUCUGAGUCCUGCAGUGUAUCUGACAUUAACCAGCUCAUCCUGAGGACUUGAGUUUUCCAUAGAAGUGACAGUGUGUUGUCAGUACUAGCUACUACAGAAUGGCACAAGGCAUGUGCAUGUGGGCAAAAUGGUUAAGUACAGUCAUACUUCAAGUGACAUGAAAGAGAUCGUUGUGGAUGGCUCCCUGAAAACAUCCGUGCAGCACAUGGUAUCCUAUUGAGCAUAAAAUGCAAGCUAAAUGAGAAAAGAGCUGACAAGCCAAAUUUUCCUUUCAGGUCUAGUUUUGUGUUUUUAAAACAUGAAGAGGUCAGCAUCUGAAGUAAUUAAUAUUAUUUGAAUAUUUAACCAGUCUUGCUGCUCUAUCUAUAUAUCAGCUUUAUCUUCUUUGCCAUCCUGCCCAAGAAGACCUUCAAAGCUGUUCAGGCUGGGGAUGUGGCCAAGACUCAUACUUUUGCUGUAGGAAAGCAAGUCUCAGGGGCUUCUAAUACUCACCUGGAUUCUUCUCUGGCUCAGAAAUCGAAUUGCAUUGGCUCAACAAUAAGCCCAGCUAUUCUCUGUUUUUGAGUGGAAAUAGCAUGACUUAUUCUGAGCCAGGAACAGAUGACUCUGUGUUCUCAGUCCAUGUCACAUCUGCAUGUUUUUACCCAUAAUUCAGUUUCCAUCUGCUUUUGCAUCAAUCUGUUAUUUUUUAAAAGUGUUGAAAUGUUAUUUUCUCUCAAAAUAUGUAUUUAAAGAUGUACUUUGAUACAUGUUGAGAAGCAUGUCACAAUUCUGGAGGAAGUGCAGAAUUCGUUGGAUAGCUGAGGGGAAAGGGAGGGAUCCGGGAUACACAUCGUGGUCAGAGCAACAUCUGUUCCUGCAACAAAAUUUACUCUUGCUCCCGGCCUUCUGCAUUCCCCACCACCAUGUGCACACACAGCUCUACACUGGAGUCUUCCUCAACCCCUUGGACCAAAUUUUGAGGUGUGUCAUUGAGGACCAAAUUUUGAGGCAUGUCUUUGAGGAGCAGGGUGGUGUGUGAGGGCAAGCUCCACUUCACCAGUGGAAGGCAUUCUUCUGGCACAAUGACUUUUCUGGACUCAGUCCUAAAUUCCAAACCUCACUUUAUUCUGAGAGGUCAAGAUUACGUAAUAUUGUAUAGGAAUCAGAAGGAAUGGAUCACUAGCUCAAGCAGUUCAAGGCUGCUAUGUACUGGUGAGUCUGUUGGUCCCUCAAGGGGAUCAGGUAGCUUCCUGGUUCACAGCACCACCAGACAUGCUGUGUGGAUCGGGGCAAGGAAUGCAGGCUGAAAACCCUCAGCCCCAGCCAAACUGCUGCUCAAGGGUGUGCUGGUCCUACCAUUAGGCCGAGGGAGGCAUCUGCCUCAGGUGGCAAAUGUGGUCAUGGAGGACAUGGAGCUCUGUGUGCCAUGUGACCUGCCUGGCUAAGCUCAUCUGCUGCUGGUCUCUACUCCAUUGGGGGGCCUUGCUCACAUUGCCAGGACUGAAUAAAGUUUCAGCAGCCAAUA